rnacentral:miRNA from 2 species
UAAGUACUCGUGCCGCAGGAG